rnacentral:lncRNA from 1 species
GCCAUAAUUCAAGUCAUAUAGAUUUGAAGAACAACAAACAGCAAAACUUGAGAAGCAUAGGCUCCUCACAUAGAGACAACAGCCUCACUUUCUAUCGUGCAAAGCAGCCGUACACUUUAUCUCUCCAAGGUGGAAUCCCAAUCUAUUUUCCUAAGCUUACUGAAUUCAAUGGAGGCCUGAAGUUUCUCCAUUUCAGAUUUCACAAUCAAAAAGUAAAUGUAAAUGCAUGUAGUCUUUUUCCUCGAAAAGAAAUGAUUUCUCAGGGGCAAAAAAGAAUAUCGCCAAAUUAAAUUUAAAAUCCCGACAUCACUCAGAACAGUAACAAUGAUAAAGCUUCACAAUCUAGACUUCUUUUUUGGUACAUCCAUCUGAAGAUCUUCAGCAACUCAAAACUGUGGAGUGUCAUCAUAACUUGCUGCAGUACAGCAUCAGAUAAGAACUAAGAGAGCCCAAAAAAAAAAAGAAGAGAGAGAGAGAAUAAAAGACACACGCACACGUUCUGCAAGUUGGACAAUGACAAACCCACAUACCUCAUACCCCGGUCCUUUAAGGAGUGCAUGUUAGACCAAGCAUUAUCUUUCUCUAUUUAUGGUAAGCUUGUGGGAAUGCCAAGUGCAUGCAUUCAUAUUCCCAAGGUAUGUGACUCAAAGUGAAGGUUUUAUUCCUCCAAUUUAAAUAAAACUUCGAGGUAUAUACACAGAGAUCUCCUACCGGUAUAUAUAGAUUCCUAGAAAUUAAAGAGAAAAUGAAAAAAUAGUCAGUACAUCGUUUUGAUAGGCCAUUGAAAUUGCAUUAUGUUCUCUUUUCACGUCAAUAUCUGUGCUUUAACUGUAAAUAUAACAUAAUUCAUGUUGGGGCGAUUCUGGUGGAAUAUGAAAGGACUCUAUAUGUAUUCUCCUCCUGUGUUGUGCAACUGCUCAGAGGCUAAUCGAAAUUAGAAAAUUUCAAACAGGAUGAAGGAUGGGGCCUAGUGCUUCUUCCAAUCGAUGCCCGUGAAUGUGAUGAUCCUAAAAAAGGCAUAGAGGCAGCCCCACCUUAGCAAAUUAUCAAGCACCCCUGUAGAGAGAGAGAGAGAGAGAGAGAGAGAGUANNNNNNNNNNNNNNNNNNNNCGUAGAGAGAGAGAGAGAGAGAGAGAGAGAGGAUUCUCGAGUGGGCCAACCUCUGACUUCCACUAACACAUUCAGACCAUAUAAAUAAAUUAAAAAGUAAGAUCCCGAAACAACACCACACACUUGCCCAUG